GACGAACGCUGGCGGCGUGCCUAAUACAUGCAAGUUGAGCGCUGAAGGUUGGUACUUGUACCAACUGGAUGAGCAGCGAACGGGUGAGUAACGCGUGGGGAAUCUGCCUUUGAGCGGGGGACAACAUUUGGAAACGAAUGCUAAUACCGCAUAAAAACUUUAAACACAAGUUUUAAGUUUGAAAGAUGCAAUUGCAUCACUCAAAGAUGAUCCCGCGUUGUAUUAGCUAGUUGGUGAGGUAAAGGCUCACCAAGGCGAUGAUACAUAGCCGACCUGAGAGGGUGAGCGGCCACAUUGGGACUGAGACACGGCCCAAACUCCUACGGGAGGCAGCAGUAGGGAAUCUUCGGCAAUGGACGAAAGUCUGACCGAGCAACGCCGCGUGAGUGAAGAAGGUUGUCGGAUCGUAAAACUCUGUUGGUAGAGAAGAACGUUGGUGAGAGUGGAAAGCUCAUCAAGUGACGGUAACUACCCAGAAAGGGACGGCUAACUACGUG
rnacentral:rRNA from 1 species